GUGUCAGCAGCCGCGGUAAGACGAACCGUACAAACGUUAUUCGGAAUCACUGGGCUUAAAGGGUGCGUAGGCGGCGGCGCAAGUUGGGUGUGAAAUCCCUCGGCUCAACCGAGGAACUGCGCUCAAAACUGCGUUGCUUGAGGGAGAUAGAGGUGAGUGGAACUUAGGGUGGAGCGGUGAAAUGCGUUGAUAUCCUAAGGAACACCAGUGGCGAAAGCGACUCACUGGGUCUCUUCUGACGCUGAGGCACGAAAGCUAGGGUAGCGAACGGGAUUAGAUACCCCGGUAGUCCUAGCCGUAAACGAUGAGCACUGGGUUGAAGGGUCCUCCAUAGCCCUUCAGCCGUAGCGAAAGUGUUAAGUGCUCCGCCUGGGGAGUAUGGUCGCAAGGCUGAA
rnacentral:rRNA from 1 species